GUGGGGAAUUUUGGACAAUGGGCGCAAGCCUGAUCCAGCAAUGCCGCGUGCAGGAUGAAGGCCUUCGGGUUGUAAACUGCUUUUGUACGGAACGAAAAGCCCUGGGUUAAUACCCUGGGGUCAUGACGGUACCGUAAGAAUAAGCACCGGCUAACUACGUGCCAGCAGCCGCGGUAAUACGUAGGGUGCGAGAGUUAAUCGGAAUUACUGGGCGUAAAGCGUGCGCAGGCGGUUUUGUAAGACAGAGGUGAAAUCCCCGGGCUCAACCUGGGAACUGCCUUUGUGACUGCAAGGCUAGAGUACGGCAGAGGGGGAUGGAAUUCCGCGUGUAGCAGUGAAAUGCGUAGAUAUGCGGAGGAACACCGAUGGCGAAGGCAAUCCCCUGGGCCUGUACUGACGCUCAUGCACGAAAGCGUGGGGAGCAAACAGGAUUAGAUACCCUGGUAGUCC
rnacentral:rRNA from 1 species